ACUGCAGAAUGAACGUUGGCGGCGUGGAUUAGGCAUGCAAGUCGAACGAGAAGUUUCCUUCGGGAGACGGACAGUGGCAAACGGGGUAGUAAGGCGUAGGUGACGUACCCUGGGGACCGGGAUAGCUACGGGAAACUGUAGGUAAUACCGGAUGACCUCUUCUGGCAUGAUCGCUGGAAGAGCAAAGGUGAGAUUCCACCCUGGGAGCGGCUUGCGUAGUAUUAGCUAGUUGGUGAGGUAACGGCUCACCAAGGCUGCGAUGCUUAGGGGGUGUUAGCGCAUGACCCCCACCACUGGGACUGAGAUACUGCCCAGACACCUACGGGUGGCUGCAGUCGAGGAUCUUCGGCAAUGGGCGAAAGCCUGACCGAGCGACGCCGCGUGUGGGAUGAAGGCCCUUGGGUCGUAAACCACUGUCAGAGGGGAUGAAGUGCCAGAGAGCUAUCUCUUGUUACAGCUCAGAGGAAGCACGGCUAAUUCUC
rnacentral:rRNA from 1 species